UGCUCUACUGACUGAGCCAGCCAGGUGCCCCUGAACACAUAUUUUGGACACCCUGCCAGGAUGUGGAGAAACAAGGGUGAAAAAAGACAUAGGUGUCCUUUGGAGCUCAUGUCCCAAUGUGGGGCUCCAGAAGUCAUUCCAGAGCUAAUGGAAGUUGUAUGUGGGUCAUUUACAACAUUCUGAUGCCUGGCAGAACAAACAACACUGUGUGUGACCAGCCUGUGUGUGACCAGCUGGGACCAAGGCCUUCAUGAGUUCUGCUUGGUUGAAUGUUAUCUUACUAUCCACUUGGUCCACAUACUUCCUAUUUUACAGAUUACUCCGUGCUUUUGGUUUAAUAGCUGACAGCAUCCAGUUUUCUGGAUCCUGCUGAGAAAAUAACCCCAAACCCAACAUACUCCCUAAAAAAUGGAUGGACUCAAAUGCA